UGAGGCUCACUUUUCUGUUUCUCAUGAUCACUUAUGUCCGAUUUAAUGUAGCAUACACUCUGCCAACUAAAGUGCCCGAACCAGCUUCAUUUACCUUCCAGUGAAAUGCAGUGGAUGAGAGGGAAUCAUGCACAUAUUCAACUCCUUCAUAGAGAAGGAAUAGAAGUUCGACCUUAUCCAAUCUUCAUCAUACCGAAGGGGAGAUCUUGUUCAAGAGCUGCUCCAAAGACCAGAGUCAAAGGUACCGUUUAUUGGUGUGGCAUUUUUUCAAGAUGAAGAUGACAUCUCCAUACCUGGGAUGCUGCUCCCAGAGAGCUCUUAAAUGCCUACAAAGAUAAGUUUAGUGGGUCUUUAACUAACUAUGUACAAUGGGAAAGGUUUACAGCAAGCCCCAGUGGUUGGUUAUGCUUCACCUGUGGCCAUUCCUCUACUUUUGAAAUAUUACUUCUGUUAGAAGUCUCUCUGUUAGUCACCAAAAGAGUCAAACUCUAGGUGGGGCUAUGUAAACUGAAGCCCAGUUCCUGAUACAUCAAAUAACUGAUCUCUUCCAACUGUAAAACUAUUCAGCCCUUUUUGAUUUGACAUUUUCAGGAGAGAGAUAACACUGUUUCUCCUGCCGUAGGUAAGUCACCUGACCCUUACAGAGUCAAACACAGGGACUACCUCUCUGCACUUAAGCUAUAGAGAACUCAAGGCCAUCUAUCCCUGGCCAUUUCCAAGUUAGUAGUAACUUUAAGUGAGGUGUUCUUUAACUUCUUUAGCCAAUGAGGUUUUAAAUUUUAAGACACCAGCCCUUCCGUUAGCCCCAUUUAUUUACCAAGAAACCUCCAGUCUUAAAACUAUUUGGGAUACAGGUAUUCAAAUACUGGUCCUUCAUAUAGACUUCAUUUGAAUUUUUGUCUCAAGCAGGGAUUCGGUGGUCUGUUUAAGAAAUGUUCUGUGCAGAACACUAGGUUCCAUGGUGCUGGCUAGGGCUGAGAGUGACUGAGCACCCUGUUGCCUUCUUCGUGGAGGGUGAGCCUCUUCCAAGGGGCAAGGCCUGUGAGGCUAUUUGUUCAUUUCUUCCUCUCCCCAACUUAUUUCCCUAUUCUUAUGGCCUUUUCCCCUCCCAUCUAGGCAGACCUAAUGCCAUGGCUUGGGCAAGCCAUGGUGGAGUUAGGCUUUCUUCACUAGUGUUGAAUAAAGCUCUGUGUGGGAUAAGGAAUAGGAAACUA
rnacentral:lncRNA from 1 species